rnacentral:rRNA from 1 species
UACGUAGGUGGCGAGCGUUGUCCGGAUUUACUGGGCGUAAAGGGAGCGUAGGCGGACUUUUAAGUGAGAUGUGAAAUACCCGGGCUUAACUUGGGUGCUGCAUUUCAAACUGGAAGUCUAGAGUGCAGGAGAGGAGAAUGGAAUUCCUAGUGUAGCGGUGAAAUGCGUAGAUAUUAGGAGGAACACCAGUAGCGAAGGCGGCUCUCUGGACUGUAACUGACACUGAGGCACGAAAGCGUGGGGAGCAAACAGGAUUAGAUACCCGGGUAGUCCCU